AGCCACGGUGGCCUAAUGGUUAAUGCGUUGGAUUCCGGUUAGCGCGGUCCGGGUUCGAGCCCUGGCCGGGCUC